rnacentral:lncRNA from 1 species
AUAUAGGGUUUGUUCCCUUUUUCUUUUCCUGUUCAUUUUUAUUAGGAUUUGAUUGUUCUCUUCAGUUAAGAGCUUGAUCUUGCCGUAACCAUGGUGAUUUAGGGAUUUAUGGGUAGGUUUUUCUUUUCCUGUUCAUUUUCUGUUUAUUUUUAUUUGGAUUUGAUUGUUAUCUUCAGUUGAGAGCUUGAUUUUUCUGUAGCCAUGGUGGUUUAGGAUUUUAUGGGUAGGUUUUAUGCGCAUCAGGGAUGCGCCUGUCACAAGAGAUAGUCCACCUUUCCAAGAUCCAUUUUGGAGAUGGAUUUUGGAUCCGAAACCCAUCAUGAAUCUGAAAAGAAUGAAUUUUGGGCCUUAUAGAUGUUAUAUUUUGUACUUAUUUAGGACUAUUCGUUUUAAUUCAUCAAAGAUAUUCAGAUCUGCACUGUAAUUUGUCAAAGAUAGCCAGAUCUGUUCUGUUUUUUCGAGCUUCAAGAUCAUAAUUCUCAGGGGAAAUGGAUUUACAAUGAUAUGGCUUGUGUUUUAUGUCUUGUAUCCUUUGAGAGCCAGGGUUGAUGCUGAAUCACAAAAUUCUGUUCCUGUCUUUUUCCCUAUGUCCCUUUUAUUAAAGAGUUUGCUGAUCUCUUGUGUGUGUGUGUGUGUGUGUGUGGUCCUGUCGUCCUGUGAUCUAAUGUCUUUCCCGCUAGGUUUAUUUUUCCUUCUAAUUAGAUUUAGACUUUGAUGCUUGCCUUUGGGGGGCUGAUCUUCUGAUCUGAGUUCUGUUUAAUUCGUGUCCUUUUGUUUUUAAUUUGUUCACGUGGGGUUUUCAGUGUUCUAGCCUCUGUAUUAUUUCCAUGAUGGCUUUGGUUCGAGUUUCAGGGCCAUGUCAGAUUUAUAAUUGUAUCUUGUUGGUCGUCUUUUUUUGUUGUGUUGGUAAUCAUGGUUUGAUGCUGCCUUAUGAGUUAAAGAUGUACCUGUUUUUUUUAAGUCGGUGAGUGUUGAUCUAAUGUUCGAUGCUUUUAGCGUUUUUUGUAUUUUGGGGGCUGUUAUUCAUCAUUGUUUAUCUUCUCUAUCACAAAUAAUUAUUUUCUGAGUUCUUGGUCUCUAUUUUCCCUUUGUGUUGCCAUGGUAUUGUUGGGUUCUAUGUUUGUCAGGGCUCCCUUGUUUCUUUUGUUUCAGGCACAGUGAAUUUACUUAAUGUUGCCUCUUUCUCGUGUUUCGUUUUGGGUGGGCGCAGGGAGAAGGGUCUUUUAUUUUAUUUGUUUUGGUUUUUCCAUGCCUUCAUUUAUGUGAUUUGAGCCUAAUUUUUAGGCCAUUUUAUGUAAUGGUCAAUUGGUCAUUGCAUGAAUGAGCUUGGUUAUGCCAUGCUCAAUGUUUCAAACUUUCUCAAAACUCUUCUAUUUGUGAUUAGGAUCACUCAUCCUGUGUAUGUUUGAUUUUUUCUGAGGAUAUCCAAGUCAUUGGUUUUUCUUUCUAGGGAUUCUUCCCUUCUGUUUAUUUUUUGAUUCUAUUGUUAGGAAAUCACACAGUGCCCUUCCUUCUGUAUUGGAUUUGAGUGGCACUUCCCUUUUAUACUCUUUCUGAUUCUUUUAUUUUGAAAGCAAGCAGUGCGUUUGGGUACCACUAUUUUUUUCUUCUGAUAUUGUGUUGUUUUAGGCUAUUCACUCGUUUUUUUUUCUGAUCUUGUGUUGUUUUAGGUUAUUCACUGUUUUUUUUCCCGGUGCACUUCAUUCUCUAUUGGAUUUUGUAGCAUUUGAUGGCUAGGUGUCUUGUUUGUUGUUAUUAAGGUCUAAAAAAUCUUUGCAUUCUGUGUUUGGGAACUUGUAUUGAAUUUUAGUUUGUUGUCUGUUUGUUUUUACCUUUUGGAAACUUGUAUUGAAUUUUAGUUUGUUGUCUGUUUGUUUUUACUGUUUCAUACUUACUGGCAUUGUAUGGCACUUACUGGCAUUGUGUGGGUACUGGCAUGAUGUGGGCAAGUUUGUUAAAAAGAUAUCGACACAAAAUAACUUUUGAAAUGCCACCCAAGUUUGUUGUUGUAUUGUUCCCACAUUUAUCUAUAUCUGUGUUUCUUUCUGUUCUUUCCAUUUAUAUACAGGAUAUGUAUGUUGUCUUCAAGAAUAAUUGCUUUUGCUAAUAUACAAUAAUGGAAUACUGAUCCCAAUGUGUUAGAAUUUAUGCUAAUCCUAACAUGUUAGAAUUUAUGCCGAGGUCUUUGAAUUUUCUGUGGUCCUGUAUCUGUUAGUGGUAUUUGCUCUGUGUUAUGUAAUCAGCAUUGGUUGUUGGGUUUGAGUAGUUACAUGGCCUCUUAUUGUUUG